rnacentral:rRNA from 1 species
GACGAACGCUGGCGGCGUGCUUAACACAUGCAAGUCGAACGGAAAGGCCCUGCUUUUGUGGGGUGCUCGAGUGGCGAACGGGUGAGUAACACGUGAGUAACCUGCCCUUGACUUUGGGAUAACUUCAGGAAACUGGGGCUAAUACCGGAUAGGAGCUCCUGCUGCAUGGUGGGGGUUGGAAAGUUUCGGCGGUUGGGGAUGGACUCGCGGCUUAUCAGCUUGUUGGUGGGGUAGUGGCUUACCAAGGCUUUGACGGGUAGCCGGCCUGAGAGGGUGACCGGCAACAUUGGGACUGAGAUACGGCCCAGACUCCUACGGGAGGCAGCAGUGGGGAAUAUUGCACAAUGGGCGGAAGGCUGAUGCAGCAACGCCGCGUGCGGGAUGACGGCCUUCGGGUUGUAAACCGCUUUCGCCUGUGACGAAGCGUGAGUGACGGUAAUGGGUAAAGAAGCACCGGCUAACUACGUG